AAGGUGGUGUCCGAAAAACCUAAAUAGAGUAGGAG
rfam:Aquimarina spongiae strain DSM 22623 genome assembly, contig: Ga0070582_106